GAUGAACGCUAGCUACAGGCUUAACACAUGCAAGUCGAGGGGCAGCGGUAUCGAAAGCUUGCUUUCGGUAGCCGGCGACCGGCGCACGGGUGAGUAACGCGUAUCGAACCUGCCUCAUACUCGGGAAUAGCCUUGCGAAAGUAGGCUUAAUGCCCGGUGUUUUCAGAGUCCCGCAUGAGGCUUUGAACAAAGAUUUAUCGGUAUGAGAUGGCGAUGCGUCCCAUUAGCUUGUUGGCGGGGUAACGGCCCACCAAGGCAUCGAUGGGUAGGGGUUCUGAGAGGAAGGUCCCCCACAUUGGAACUGAGACACGGUCUAAACUCCUACGGGAGGCAGCAGUGAGGAAUAUUGGUCAAUGGGCGGAAGCCUGAACCAGCCAAGUAGCGUGCAGGAAGACGGCCCUCCGGGUUGUAAACUGCUUUUAGUUGGGAAUAAAACGGGGCUCGUGAGCCCCCUUGCAUGUACCAUCAGAAAAAGGACCGGCUAAUUCCGUGCCAGCCGCCGCUGUAA
rnacentral:rRNA from 1 species